rnacentral:rRNA from 1 species
GACGUAGGGCGCGAGCGUUGUUCGGAUUCAUUGGGCGUAAAGGGUGCGUAGGCGGCGCGGUAAGUCGGGUGUGAAAUCUCGGGGCUUAACUCCGAAACUGCAUUCGAUACUGCCGUGCUUGAGGACUGGAGAGGAGACUGGAAUUUACGGUGUAGCGGUGAAAUGCGUAGAUAUCGUAAGGAAGACCAGUGGCGAAGGCGGGUCUCUGGACAGUUCCUGACGCUGAGGCACGAAGGUCAGGGGAGCAAACGGG